UGAGGAAGAUAAUGACGGUACUCAACAAGGAAGUGACGGCUAACUACGUGCCAGCAGCCGCGGUAAAACGUAGGUCACAAGCGUUGUCCGGAAUUACUGGGUGUAAAGGGAGCGCAGGCGGGAGAACAAGUUGGAAGUGAAAUCCAUGGGCUCAACCCAUGAACUGCUUUCAAAACUGUUUUUCUUGAGUAGUGCAGAGGUAGGCGGAAUUCCCGGUGUAGCGGUGGAAUGCGUAGAUAUCGGGAGGAACACCAGUGGCGAAGGCGGCCUACUGGGCACCAACUGACGCUGAGGCUCGAAAGUGUGGGUAGCAAACAGGAUUAGAUACCCUGGUAGUCCACACCGUAAACGAUGAUUACUAGGUGUUGGAGGAUUGACCCCUUCAGUGCCGCAGUUAACACAAUAAGUAAUCCACCUGGGGAGUACGACCGCAAGGUUGAAACUCAAAGGAAUUGACGGGGGCCCGCACAAGCAGUGGAGUAUGUGGUUUAAUUCGACGCAACGCGAAGAACCUUACCAAGUCUUGACAUCCCUUGACGAUGCUGGAAACAGUAUUUCUCUUCGGAGCAAGGAGACAGGUGGUGCAUGGUUGUCGUCAGCUCGUGUCGUGAGAUGUUGGGUUAAGUCCCGCAACGAGCGCAACCCUUAUGGUCAGUUACUACGCAAGAGGACUCUGGCCGGACU
rnacentral:rRNA from 1 species